rnacentral:rRNA from 1 species
GAUGAACGCUGGCGGCGUGCCUAAUACAUGCAAGUCGAGCGAACAGAUGAGGAGCUUGCUCCUCUGACGUUAGCGGCGGACGGGUGAGUAACACGUGGAUAACCUACCUAUAAGACUGGGAUAACUACGGGAAACCGGAGCUAAUACCGGAUAAUAUAUUGAACCGCAUGGUUCAAUAGUGAAAGACGGUUUUGCUGUCACUUAUAGAUGGAUCCGCGCCGCAUUAGCUAGUUGGUAAGGUAACGGCUUACCAAGGCAACGAUGCGUAGCCGACCUGAGAGGGUGAUCGGCCACACUGGAACUGAGACACGGUCCAGACUCCUACGGGGGGCAGCAGUAGGGAAUCUUCCGCAAUGGGCGAAAGCCUGACGGAGCAACGCCGCGUGAGUGAUGAAGGUCUUCGGAUCGUAAAACUCUGUUAUUAGGGAAGAACAAAUGUGUAAGUAACUAUGCACGUCUUGACGGUACCUAAUCAGAAAGCCACGGCUAACUACGUG